GGGCCGUUAGCGCAGUUGGUAGCGCGUUUCCAUGGCAUGGAAAAGGUCAUCGGUUCGAAUCCGAUACGGUCCA
rnacentral:tRNA from 1 species